rnacentral:rRNA from 1 species
CCUACGGGGGGCAUCAGUGGGGAAUUUUGCGCAAUGGGGGCAACCCUGACGCAGCAACGCCGCGUGAGUGAUGAAGGCCUUCGGGUCGUAAAGCUCUGUCAGAGGGGAAGAAAUGCAGGUGGUGAACAACCAUUCUGUUUGACGGUACCCUCAAAGGAAGCACCGGCUAACUCCGUGCCAGCAGCCGCGGUAAUACGGAGGGUGCGAGCGUUGUUCGGAAUUAUUGGGCGUAAAGCGCGUGUAGGCGGUUUUUUAAGGCGGAUGUGAAAGCCCCGGGCUCAACCGGGGAAGUGCAUUGGAUACUGGCAGACUUGAGUACGGGAGAGGAGAGUGGAAUUCCCAGUGUAGGAGUGAAAUCCGUAGAUAUUGGGAGGAACACCGGUGGCAAAGGCGGCUCUCUGGACCGAUACUGACGCUGAGCCGCGAAAGCGUGGGGAGCAAACAGGAUUAGAUCCCCUUGUAGU